rnacentral:lncRNA from 1 species
AGAAAGUUGGCCAAAAACUAGUAGUAUUGGAGAGAUUUUAACAAUAAAACAAUGUGAGAUGAAUGAUGAGUUGCAGAAUGCUAGAAAAUUAUUAAUCAGUGUAAGAUAAGUUUCAGACACAACAUAAGUUUGCAUAUAAUUAUUUCUAAAAUCAAUUACCUAGGUUAUAUGUUCAAAUAGAGGUUAGUCAAACAAAUAAUCGACAUUAGGUAUAAUAAACUUAACUAGACGAAACA